rnacentral:lncRNA from 1 species
AUUAAGGUGGCUUGGAUGCCACGUGCACCCAUGCAUGCUUAUCAACAAAUUAGGUGGGCAUUGCCUAAUUUGUUUACUUCUCUCUUUGUUCGACCGAAGCAAAGAGCUCGGUGGAGGUAGCCGCGAGCACGAGUUCGACGCCAACGACGCGCCGCGAAGCCGUUCGAGGGUACGGUUGGGAUCGUAGCGCUGCGAGGAAGCUAGGCGAGGGUGUGUUUUCGCCGUUCUCGACGCCGCGUCAAUGUCCGAUUAGCCUUUGAGGUGAGUGUUCCGUUGCAUUGCUUCAAGUAUUAUUAUUUCGAGCUUGGUGCUGAUUUGCAGAAUUUCCAGCGUCGACCGUCGGUAUUUCAGUUCGUACUCGGCGUAGGAGCGUCGGGUUUCGACGGGACUUGGUUCGUUGGAUUUGGGACUUCGAGAGGAAUCCACGAAGCCCUUACUUGCUGGAUUUGGUAAAGGUUUGCUAGGUCGGAAUUUCGCUCCUCUCUGUUGCUGUUUUUGGAGGCAGAAUUAAUGUUUAUUGUCGGAUUCUCCGUGUAGAGUUUAGCGGGAGCUUGACUUCGGGGCCUUUGGAGGUUUUCGGACGUUUCGGCAAGUUGUUCCGCAGCCGAGGGGAGUUCCGUGCUGCCAGGGAUUAGCGAUCGAGGUGGGUUACAUCGGUUUAUUCCUAAGUAUUAUAGUAGUCGACAUGUAUGAUUUCCUGUUUUUGUAAAUCAUGUGGUAGCUCAAUUUCGUCGAUUGUAUAAUGAAUGAAAUUAGCUUGAGGGCAUGACUUGUAACUAUAAAUAUACAUGUUGGACUUAGAAUUAAACUUAGGAGAAAACCAACGUUCGGGACCUGGCAUAUGUUAAACUACCUGAUUUAGCCUAGGGGCCGUUGUAUUAUUUUAUACUGUUGCAGUAUCCUCAUAGUGAGUAUUCCAGGUAGUUUAGUUUUUAGUUACGCUCGUGCUGGGAUGCCGAGUGUAUUUUUACAGUAGCGUUCAGGCUGUUCCGGACUGUUGGGUGUCGUCGGAGUUGACGGUGGACUCGUAUCGCCUUUUUGGCGUUAGAUUGUGCCCCGAGGGCACGUUACCUGUUGGUUGUUAGACCAGUUAGAGUAGGUUACUUGACUUAGCCUGUGAGAGCAGUAUGAACUUGACAGAGAUACUUGUAAACUCGUUGGGUCGCGCCCACGAAUGCCAUUCCGGAAUGAGGUUUCAGUGCGAUGAGUGUCGCAGUUUCUGUUGGACAGUUCUUGAGCCGGCUACCCUCGGGGUGGUGUACGGCGCAGCUAGAUACAGGCAGGGUGGGUCCGUUUUGGGCAGCCCGGAUAAGAUAGUGAGUGACGCUUUUCCCUACCUUUGGUGAGGUUGUGACGUGAGUGGAGUCUUAGCCGUCCUAUUGGACCUUUUCUGGAACCGACUACUCUUGUGAUAUGGUGUAGUCUAAUUAGGCGAGACGGGUGUAUUCACAGUCUUCAGAGAGUUUUCUCCGCCGGUUACUCUUGAGAUACGGUGUAGUCUAGUAGACGAGACGGGUGUAUUCACAGUCUCUAGAGAGUCUUCUCCGCCGGUUACUCUCGAGCUACGGUGUCACCUAAUUAGACGGGAUGGGUGUAUUCACAGUCCCUAGAGAGUUUUCUCCACCAGCUACUUUUGGAGUAGGUUACGGGUUCGAUCCGACAGGCGAGACGGGUGUGUUCAUAGUCCCUAGUGAGAUUGAGUUAGUUGUGACUUUUACUACAGUUGGUUAGUGUAGAUCAUGCUAGUGUAGCGAUAUGUAGCGGUAGAUUUCUUUCCAGCUUUUCCUGCUAGCCUUGUUACCUUCUGUAGACUUAGUGGGUGGACCGAUGAUUGUUGAGGGCGGCACCCACUGAGGACUACUUGUUUCUACAGUAGUUCUCACGCCCAGUUGUUACUCCGUUUUUACAGAGUCUUCGUAUUCGGCUGCUGCUGUUGUUGGUCAGGAGCUAGGCAAGGGCAUCACGAGUUAGAGCCCUACCCGAGGAGCAGAGCUAGAGGCACCCCUACUGCAGGUAGAUGUUUUGGUUUGGGUUCAUGUACAUACAGACUUUUAACUCGCCAACGC